GAACAGGAGUAGCAAAUGGAAGUUUUCUGCAAGGGAGUUCUCCAGGUGAAGGAGGAGAGACUACAUGACCUGGGGGGGACAGAAGACAGUCCAGCACAUGCUCAACAGAAAUGAGGACUGAGGAAACCUCUUUCAAUCUGGACCAGAUGGAAAACCUCUGGUAUUUAACUAGAGGUUCUGAAUCUGAUCUGUGAACUGCUGGUGGUCUGUGAAGACGUGGCAUAUCAACCG